GAUCUCUCUGCCCCCUCCCAGCGGGACUGCAAACCACAAGCUGUUGCAGCCCCAGCUGGAAGAAUGAGGGGGCCUUCCCAUACAGAAAUCUGCAGUGAUGCCCUGGGGGCCUGGAGUCCUGUUCCUGUGCCUGAAUUCCCUUCUCCCUGUAAUUUUAUUGCCUUCAUCAUUCUUAUCAUCCCAGUUUGGACAGGCUCGAACUUGUGAUGGACCGGGCCUAAUGCCAGGCUUUCAUGCUGGUCAUCACCUCCUCUUGAAAUGCUCUACGUCCUCACCACGCCAAACUCUGUUCUUCGUUUAUGUGUUCCUUUGACUUGGAGUACAAUGAAAGUCCUCCUUUGACUUGGAGUACAAUGAAGAAGAUUUGUUGAGUUCAA